GCAGAGAAGCUUGCUUCUCUUGAGAGCGGCGGACGGGUGAGUAAAGCCUAGGAAUCUGCCUGGUAGUGGGGGAUAACGUUCGGAAACGGACGCUAAUACCGCAUACGUCCUACGGGAGAAAGCAGGGGACCUUCGGGCCUUGCGCUAUCAGAUGAGCCUAGGUCGGAUUAGCUAGUUGGUGAGGUAAUGGCUCACCAAGGCGACGAUCCGUAACUGGUCUGAGAGGAUGAUCAGUCACACUGGAACUGAGACACGGUCCAGACUCCUACGGGAGGCAGCAGUGGGGAAUAUUGGACAAUGGGCGAAAGCCUGAUCCAGCCAUGCCGCGUGUGUGAAGA
rnacentral:rRNA from 1 species